rnacentral:rRNA from 1 species
AGUUGUUGCAGUUAAAAAGCUCGUAGUUGGAUUUCUGGUAUAAUGCGCCUGGCCCGCGACCGUCAGGUCUGUGAGUGCCGGUGCGCGUUUGCCAUCCUUCUAGAAAACGUUUCUACCCUUAACUGGGCCGGAUUCGCGAUCUAGAUCUUUUACUUUGAAAAAAUUAGAGUGUUUAAAGCAGGCUUUUGCUAUGAAUACAUUAGCAUGGAAUAAUAAUCUAGGACUUCGGUUCUAUUUUGUUGGUUUCUAGUACUGAAGUAAUGAUUGAUAGGGAUAGUUGGGGGUGCUAGUAUUGGCCGGCCAGAGGUGAAAUUCUUGGAUUCGGUCAAGACUAACUUAUGCGAAAGCAUUCACCAAGGAUGUCUUCUUUAAUCAAGAACGAAAGUUGGGGGAUCGAAGACGAUCAGAUACCGUCGUAGUCUCAACCAUAAACUAUGCCGACUAGGGAUGAGUGAACGUUGCAUUUUCGACUUCAUUCGCACCUUAUGAGAAAUCAAAGUCUUUGGGUUCCGGGGGGAGUAUGGUCGCAAGGCUGAAACUUAAAG